rnacentral:lncRNA from 1 species
UUUAAUGUUCUGUUUUAGUUUAAGGUCUGAGUUUGUGAAUGUUUAAGUUUGUGUCUGUUUUAUGGUUUAAUGAUAUGUUUCAGUUUGAUGUCGUAUUGUAAGUGUUACUUCUAUUCCACGUCGCUCUUAACAUCACUUUUGAACUUGUUUCUCUUCUUAAUAAUGGAACAGAUUACUCGUUAGGAACAAACUCAAGGUUGUUCUCUUUCUUUUCCUUUCCUUCACCGGGUAAGCUAGUCAUUCUCUUGUCUCAUGUCCUCUCUCAGCGUUUUGAGUCUUAGGAGUUCAAUGUUUGGUUGGUUUUUGCAAGUGAUGUUCCUGAAAGUAACGCUCUUGUCACUUGGUAGCGUACAGGCGCUUUUGCUAAAUAUUGUGGCUUAAGUUUGUGUAUGUUUUAUCGUUUAAUGUUAUAUUUCAGUUUGAUGUCAUAUUGUGUUUGCAGUUUGUAACUCUGUGUGUUUGUGAUUUUAUGAGUUUUUAUGUCAUUUUUAUUUUAAUUUUUAUGUAUCAUUUUUUUUCAAAUCAUUCAACUUUUAAAAAA